GAAGUUAGACCUAUCAUGUAUAAAUACAAAUGACCAAGGACUGUGCCCCUAAGCUGAAGCAGGCUGAAAAACAAGAUGUCCCAUACCUCUUAACCAUGAGACUUGGAAUGAGUUUACAGUUGCUGUUAAAACUUGAAAAAGGGUAGCUUUAUUUUUCACACAUUUGUGAACAAGGCUUGGCUGGGAAGUUGGAGACCACAAGUUGGCACAUUCCCAUGAAGGCUGCCAACAGAGAGUCCAAUCACACACCAGUCUCAUGCACGGAGCUGACAACCACAUCCCUUAAAGAAAGGCCCUGUGCCAUUUCCAGAGCUUUUCUUUUUUCUCGUCAUGGUGUUGGCUUUUAAUGGAAACCAAGAAACUUGAUGCACCGAGCCCAAGAAACAGAAACAGAAGCAGAAGCAGAAAGCUUCAGUGGAAAACAGCUAUCCAGUUAAAGCAUCAUCACAUACAACUGAGAUGAUCUCGGGCACCCCUGCACCCCAGCCUCCUCAGCAGGGUGGGAGAGUGAUGCCCACACUGCUCACCUUGCAAGAAGAAAUGACCAUCGAGCCAACCAGUUCUUGCUGUGUAACCAAGGGUGCUGAGGCCCAGCGGCUGGGCCAGCUGGCUGGGAGUUGCUGAUGGAGGCCAGGGGCUGUGCUCCCUCUGUUUCCAGUGCUCCAGCAGGCAGGCCUGGGAGUGUGCACGUGGUCCUGGGAGAAGCACGACAAGGAGCCUCAAGAACAAAGGCCAUCAGAGAGGCCGUUUGCUGGCAUGGAGCCCCCCAGGACUCAUCAACCAUGGUUGAGGUUGACUGAAAACAGAGCAAGAGAGGCCCCCGCCUGUCUCAGAAUUUUGGUGUGGUCUGAUUCUCGGGUCUCACUUGACACGGCCUCCUCUGGCAAGUGCCUGCUAAGACUGUAAUUCACUGAUUGGCUAUCCUGGGAUUUGUUUUCCUCAGAUGAGACUGGUGUUUUUUGCAAAUGGAUUACUUAAAGGUGUCUUGAAGGGGUAUGAUACUGCGAUAUGCACCUUUCACUGCCUGGAAUCUUCCUGAGUUUUGUCUUGGUCGAGCUGCCUUCCAUGUACAGCCCCCUCUGAAGAUGUUGGAAAGGAGGAGAAGGAAGAGGAAAGCAGAGGGGAUCGCCCCGCAGAGGCCAGCCUGCAGCCUGGGCUCCAUGCACCUCUGGCUGCUAACGGGAUCCACCUCGGGUCAAGAAGGUGCUGGCUCACACUUUCCUCAAGAUUUUAGAGAUGCAUGUAUCCCAGUGCAUGUCCUGGAAAGCCUUUAAAAUUCAGAGAAAACAAGCAAAGCUCUGGCUAAUUAAAUGUUUUCUGCUUACCGUUGUUAACAUAUUAAUGAAACAGGUUAAAUGUAUUACUCAGUGAUGAGGAAGCUCUUAGCUUCUAUGCACCCCUUUUUGAGAGGAUUUCUCCAAGUGGCAUCAGUGUUUACAGUGCACUGGCUUCCUGUUCAUAGGACUUUUAUGUGGGGGUGGUGGCAAGGCAGAAAGCAUCCCCAGGGUGAGAAGGGGAUGGGGAGGUCCACGUUGCAGUUCAGACCCCCUCGUCACCUGCCUUUGAGACAGCCACGUCCCUGAGCCUUUCCUGUCAAAUGAGGGUAGGUAAGUUUCUAAUGUUCCCGUUUUGACCUCUCAGACUCAGGGACUGGGGCUAGAGCACGGGUCCUCUCGUUGAAGUCACUGUAGCACUUCAGAGGCAUCAGCACUCUUGCUUUAUUUUGCACAUCCUUGGUUGUCAGUUAUUAUGGGUACACAGCAAGCUACCCCAAACUUAGUACAACAACAACCGUUUUGCUGUGCUCACGGAUUCUGUGGGUAAGGAAUUUGGAAGGGGCCCAGGGUGUGGUGUGUCAUUUGGGAAGAUUUGAGUCAGUAGUAGGUUUGCUCACUCCCAUGUCUGUGGCGCACGUGGCCUCUGUGUGGCUGGGCUUCCUCACAGCAUGGCGUCCUGAGCUGCCUUUCAUGGGGGCUUACUCAGGGCUCCCAGCACAAGGGUUCCAGCCAACAGGGUGGAUUUCACAGCGCCUUUUCUGGCCCAGUCUCUG
rnacentral:lncRNA from 10 species